rnacentral:rRNA from 1 species
AAUAGAUACCCCGGUAGUCCACGCCGUAAACGAUGAGUGCUAAGUGUUGGGGGGUUUCCGCCCCUCAGUGCUGCAGCUAACGCAUUAAGCACUCCGCCUGGGGAGUACGGUCGCAAGACUGAAACUCAAAGGAAUUGACGGGGGCCCGCACAAGCGGUGGAGCAUGUGGUUUAAUUCGAAGCAACGCGAAGAACCUUACCAGGUCUUGACAUCCCGGUGACCACUAUGGAGACAUAGUUUCCCCUUCGGGGGCAACGGUGACAGGUGGUGCAUGGUUGUCGUCAGCUCGUGUCGUGAGAUGUUGGGUUAAGUCCCGCAACGAGCGCAACCCUUAUUCUUAGUUGCCAUCAUUCAGUUGGGCACUCUAAGGAGACUGCCGGUGAUAAACCGGAGGAAGGUGGGGAUGACGUCAAAUCAUCAUGCCCCUUAUGACCUGGGCUACACACGUGCUACAAUGGACGGUACAAACGGUUGCCAACCCGCGAGGGGGAGCUAAUCCGGAUAAAACCGUUCUCAGUUCGGAUUGUAGGCUGCAACUCGCCUACA